UACGUAGGGUGCGAGCGUUAAUCGGAAUUACUGGGCGUAAAGGGCGCGUAGGCGGUGUGUCAAGUCAGGCGUGAAAGCCCCGGGCUCAACCUGGGAACCGCGCUUGAGACUGGCACGCUCGAGUUCGGGAGAGGAUGGUGGAAUUCCCAGUGUAGAGGUGAAAUUCGUAGAUAUUGGGAAGAACACCGAUGGGCGAAGGCAGCCAUCUGGACCGACACUGACGCUGAGGCGCGAAAGCGUGGGGAGCAAACAGG
rnacentral:rRNA from 1 species